GUCAAAUGGAGAUAAAAGUCGGCGACACGAAGAAGCGGGACGUAUUUCAGUGGAUUUAAUAAGAAAAGGAGACGGGCCUCAGCCCGAGAUGGAGGAGGCGGAGGAGACAGCGGAGAGAGGCGAGGUGAAGCUGAACAGUCCGUCUCCAAACUCAGCGUCCAAAAGUGGUGACAAUAUUGAAAAACAUUUGCGUGAUGUUGGUCAGUACAAAGGACUUCCAGCCAUACGAUGAAUAUGACAGAGUUGUAUUGGUCUCUGCUCCAUCUGAGAUUAUGACAUCAUCCAAUUCUAGAACGUGAACGUGACCU
rnacentral:lncRNA from 1 species